CCGAAUGGGGAAACCCACUGUUCGUAAUGGAGCAGUACAUUUACGUGAAUACAUAGCGUAUCUGUGGCACACCCAGGGAACUGAAACAUCUAAGUACCUGGAGGAAGAGAAAGAAACAUCGAUUCCCUGAGUAGCGGCGAGCGAAACGGGAAUAGCCCAAACCAAGAGGCUUGCCUCUUGGGGUUGUAGGACACUCAACACGGAGUUACAAAGGAAUGAGUUAGACGAAGCGAUCUGGAAAGGUCCGCAAGAUAGGGUAAAAGCCCCGUAGUCCAAAAUUCAUUCUCUCCUGAGUGUAUCCUGAGUACGGCGGAACACGUGAAAUUCCGUCGGAAUCCGGGAGGACCAUCUCCCAAGGCUAAAUACUCCCUAGUGACCGAUAGUGAACCAGUACCGUGAGGGAAAGGUGAAAAGCACCCCGGAAGGGGAGUGAAAUAGAUCCUGAAACCGUGUGCCUACAAGUAGUUAGAGCCCGUUAAUGGGUGAUAGCGUGCCUUUUGUAGAAUGAACCGGCGAGUUACGAUCCCAUGCAAGGUUAAGCUGAGAAGGCGGAGCCGCAGCGAAAGCGAGUCUGAAUAGGGCGAAUGAGUAUGUGGUCGUAGACCCGAAACCAGGUGAUCUACCCAUGUCCAGGAUGAAGGUAAGGUAACACUUACUGGAGGUCCGAACCCACGCACGUUGAAAAGUGCGGGGAUGAGGUGUGGGUAGCGGAGAAAUUCCAAUCGAACCUGGAGAUAGCUGGUUCUCUCCGAAAUAGCUUUAGGGCUAGCCUCAAACGUUAGAAUCUUGGAGGUAGAGCACUGUUUGGACUAGGGGCCCAUCCCGGGUUACCGAAUUCAGACAAACUCCGAAUGCCAAUGAUUUAUGUUUGGGAGUCAGACUGCGAGUGAUAAGAUCCGUAGUCAAGAGGGAAACAGCCCAGACCACCAGCUAAGGUCCCAAAGUAUUUGUUAAGUGGAAAAGGAUGUGGCGUUGCUUAGACAACCAGGAUGUUGGCUCAGAAGCAGCCAUCAUUUAAAGAGUGCGUAAUAGCUCACUGGUCGAGUGACGCUGCGCCGAAAAUGUAUCGGGGCUAAACAAAUCACCGAAGCUGUGGAUUGAUACCUAUGGUAUCAGUGGUAGGAGAGCGUUCUAAGGGCGUCGAAGUCAGACCGUAAGGACUGGUGGAGCGCUUAGAAGUGAGAAUGCCGGUAUGAGUAACGAAAGAUGGGUGAGAAUCCCAUCCACCGUAUGACUAAGGUUUCCUGAGGAAGGCUCGUCCGCUCAGGGUUAGUCGGGACCUAAGUCGAGGCCGAUAGGCGUAGACGAUGGAUAACAGGUUGAUAUUCCUGUACCACCAAACCACCGUUUGAGCAAUGGGGGGACGCAGAAGGAUAGGGUAAGCAUGCUGUUGGUUAUGCAUGUCUAAGCAGUAAGGUGUGAAUGUAGGCAAAUCCGCAUUCUUUAACAUUGAGCUGUGAUGGCGAGGACGUAUGUCCGAAGUUCCUGAUUUCACACUGCCGAGAAAAGCCUCUAGCGAGGUGAUAGGUGCCCGUACCGCAAACCGACACAGGUAGUCGAGGAGAGAAUCCUAAGGUGAGCGAGAGAACUCUCGCUAAGGAACUCGGCAAAAUGACCCCGUAACUUCGGGAGAAGGGGUGCUCUUUUGGGUGUAUAGCCUAGAAGAGCCGCAGUGAAUAGGCCCAGGCGACUGUUUAGCAAAAACACAGGUCUAUGCAAAACCGUAAGGUGAAGUAUAUGGGCUGACGCCUGCCCGGUGCUGGAAGGUUAAGAGGAGUGCUUAGCGCAAGCGAAGGUGCGAAUUGAAGCCCCAGUAAACGGCGGCCGUAACUAUAACGGUCCUAAGGUAGCGAAAUUCCUUGUCGGGUAAGUUCCGACCCGCACGAAAGGCGUAACGAUCUGGGCGCUGUCUCAACGAGAGACUCGGUGAAAUUAUAGUACCUGUGAAGAUGCAGGUUACCCGCGACAGGACGGAAAGACCCCGUGGAGCUUUACUAUAGCUUGAUAUUGAAUUUUGGUGCAACUUGUACAGGAUAGGCAGGAGCCUUAGAGCCCGGAGCGCCAGCUUCGGAGGAGGCGUCGGUGGGAUACUGCCCUGGUUGUAUUGAAAUUCUAACCCAUACCCGUAACCCGGGUAGGAGACAGUGUCAGGCGGGUAGUUUGACUGGGGCGGU
rnacentral:rRNA from 1 species